UCAUUGUGGGAGGGGUGUGGUACGUCGCGCGGCAGUAGACGGUGACAUGACGUCAUAUCACCUCCUGCUGCCGCGUGACGUCACGAGAUAACAGGAAGUUGCUGCUCUGCCCGUGCACUAAAUUCCGAGGCCAAGCCCGCUUGAGCUGCUGUACCGCUUUUUGUUUUCAGAAGCGACCUGCCCACAACACAACACAAGCUGUCGCUUCCUCUGCAGAAUUGGUCUGAUGGAGCAAAGGCACUCGGCGCAGCUCGGUGCAAAAAGGCAUCAAUGCGACCGGUGUGCAUACAGCACGGAUAGUACUGCACAUUUCACGUGGCACCAGAGAACCCACACGGGAGAGAAACCCUUCAAGUGCAAUGUGUGUGGGAAGGCGUUUGCACAGUCACCA